rnacentral:rRNA from 1 species
AUUCCUACGGGAGGCAGCAGUGGGGAAUAUUGCACAAUGGGCGAAAGCCUGAUGCAGCAACGCCGCGUGAGCGAUGAAGGCCUUCGGGUCGUAAAGCUCUGUCCUCAAGGAAGAUAAUGACGGUACUUGAGGAGGAAGCCCCGGCUAACUACGUGCCAGCAGCCGCGGUAAUACGUAGGGGGCUAACGUUAUCCGGAAUUACUGGGCGUAAAGGGUGCGUAGGUGGUUUCUUAAGUCAGAGGUGAAAGGCUACGGCUCAACCGUAGUAAGCCUUUGAAACUGGGAAACUUGAGUGCAGGAGAGGAGAGUGGAAUUCCUAGUGUAGCGGUGAAAUGCGUAGAUAUUAGGAGGAACACCAGUUGCGAAGGCGGCUCUCUGGACUGUAACUGACACUGAGGCACGAAAGCGUGGGGAGCAAACAGGAUUAGAUACCCUGGUAGUCCACGCCGUAAACGAUGAGUACUAGCUGUCGGAGGUUACCCCCUUCGGUGGCGCAGCUAACGCAUUAAGUACUCCGCCUGGGAAGUACGCUCGCAAGAGUGAAACUCAAAGGAAUUGACGGAAU